rnacentral:rRNA from 1 species
GGAAAAAGCUGGCGGCGUGCCUAUACAUGCAGUCGAGCGGACAGAUGGGGGCUUGGUCCCUUUUGUUUUCGCGGGGGGGGGGUGUAUAACGUGUGUAUCCCCUACCUAUAACUGGGGUAUCUCUUCGGAAACCCGGAUCUUAUACCGGAUAUCCUAUUGCCCCGCGGGUCUCGGUUGAGAAAGGGUUUUUUGUGGCCCUUUAUAAUGGGACCCCCGCCCAAUUACUUAUUUGGGGGGGAAUGGGUUUACCAGGGCACCAAUCCUUACCCAACCUGAAAGGUGGACCGCCCCCCUGGGACUGAAAACCCGGCCCAAAUCCUUACGGAAGGCACCAUAAGGAAUCCUUCCGCAUGGACCAAAAUCCUGACGAACCACCGCCGCUUGAUUGAUAAAGGUCUUCGAAUCGUAGCUUCUGUUAUCAGGAAGAACCAGUUGUAUAGUUACUGGUCCACAUCUGGCCGUAACUAGAUCGGAGGCAACGCUAACUUACUUGCAACCAGCCGCGUAAUUACUAAGUUGCCAGCCGUGAUCGAUAAUGCGGUAGCGUCGCGAAGCCGUCUAGUCCUAAUGUGAGCCACGCUCACGUGAGUCAUGACUGAACUGAUGCAGAGAGAGUGAUCAUGGACGUGAUGCUAAAGAGAGACACAUGCGAGCGACCUCUGUCGUACUGAGCUGAUAUGAAGCUGGGAUGACAGAUAGAUAUUGUAGUCACGCGUAACCAUGAUGCUAAUGUAGGUUCGCUAGUGCUGAACUAACGAAUAAGCACUCCCCUGGGGAAUACAACGAAGAUUGAAACUAAAGGAUUGACGGGGACCGCCCAGCUGGACCAUGGUUAAUCCGACACCGGGAACCCUCCGGGG